GAUGAACGCUGGCGGCGUGCCUAAUACACGCCAGUCGAGCGAACAGAUGAGGAGCUUGCUCCUCUGACGUUAGCGGCGGACGGGUGAGUAACACGUGGAUAACCUACCUAUAAGACUGGGAUAACUUCGGGAAACCGGAGCUAAUACCGGAUAAUAUAUUGAACCGCAUGGUUCAAUAGUGAAAGACGGUUUUGCUGUCACUUAUAGAUGGAUCCGCGCCGCAUUAGCUAGUUGGUAAGGUAACGGCUUACCAAGGCGACGAUGCGUAGCCGACCUGAGAGGGUGAUCGGCCACACUGGAACUGAGACACGGUCCAGACUCCUACGGGAGGCAGCAGUAGGGAAUCUUCCGCAAUGGGCGAAAGCUUGACGGAGCAACGCCGCGUGAGUGAUGAAGGUCUUCGGAUCGUAAAACUCUGUUAUUAGGGAAGAACAAAUGUGUAAGUAACUAUGCACGUCUUGACGGUACCUAAUCAGAAAGCCACGGCUAACUACGUG
rnacentral:rRNA from 1 species